rnacentral:rRNA from 1 species
UACCAGCACCCCGAGUGGUCGGGACGUUUAUUGGGCCUAAAGCAUCCGUAGCCGGUUCUACGAGUCUUCCGUUAAAUCCACCUGCUCAACAGAUGGGCUGCGGAAGAUACUAUAGGGCUAGGAGGCGGGAGAGGCAAGCGGUACUCAGUGGGUAGGGGUAAAAUCCUCUGAUCCAUUGAAGACCACCAGUGGCGAAGGCGGCUUGCCAGAACGCGCUCGACGGUGAGGGAUGAAAGCUGGGGGAGCAAACCGG